rnacentral:lncRNA from 1 species
CCUUGGAAAGGCCCUUCAUGCCGUUGCAUCAAGAAACGGCAUGAAAGGACAGAGUUUUUCCAGUGAGUUUCAGCCCGCCAGCUCUUGACAGCUCCAAUCAAACGUCUGUCCAAGGCUAGAUGGCCCAAGCAACUGGCAUGGUGGAGGCACGGUUUGGAGAGGUGGGAGCACUCUGGUUAGCAUCGCAUCGUGGAUUCACCAGCCUGAUUUAUUAGUCUGUUGCACAGGAGCUGUCGGCCAUGCUGUUCCAGUUCAGGGGCUCCUGCAACAGAAAAGAUCAGCUGUUGGAGAACCCAUGGAAAGCCCUGGGGGAGAGCCAUGGCCGCAAGAGGACCAGGCGAUUCAAGGCACAACUCUAGCAGAUGGUUUUGGUGAUGUGAAGCACAAGGGGAUCGCUCCCAGGAGCUGCUGAGGCAGUUAAGU